GGUUCCUUAGCCAAGUGGUAAGGCAAUUGACUGCAACUCAAUGAGCGUCGGUUCGACUCUGACAGGAACCUCCA
rnacentral:tRNA from 1 species